rnacentral:rRNA from 1 species
UACGUAGGGGGCUAGCGUUGUCCGGAUUUAUUGGGCGUAAAGAGCGUGUAGGCGGCCAGGUAGGUCUGCUGUGAAAACUCGAGGCUCAACCUCGAGACGUCGGCGGAAACCAUCUGGCUAGAGUCCGGAAGAGGAGAGUGGAAUUCCUGGUGUAGCGGUGAAAUGCGCAGAUAUCAGGAAGAACACCCGUGGCGAAGGCAGCCCCCUGGGAUAACACUGACGCUCAUGCACGAAAGCGUGGGGAGCAAACAGG